rnacentral:ncRNA from 1 species
CGGGAUACGUCCCGCGAAGGAAUGUGGCCCGUCUUCGGGCUGAACCUGUAG